rnacentral:rRNA from 1 species
AUUGAACGCUGGCGGCGUACCUAAUACAUGCAGGUCGAGCGAAUGGAUUAAGAGCUUGCUCUUAUGAAGUUAGCGGCGGACGGGUGAGUAACACGUGGGUAACCUGCCCAUAAGACUGGGAUAACUCCGGGAAACCGGGGCUAAUACCGGAUAACAUUUUGAACCGCAUGGUUCGAAAUUGAAAGGCGGCCUCGGCUGUCACUUAUGGAUGGACCCGCGUCGCAUUAGCUAGUUGGUGAGGUAACGGCUCACCAAGGCAACGAUGCGUAGCCGACCUGAGAGGGUGAUCGGCCACACUGGGACUGAGACACGGCCCAGACUCCUACGGGAGGCAGCAGUAGGGAAUCUUCCGCAAUGGACGAAAGUCUGACGGAGCAACGCCGCGUGAGUGAUGAAGGCUUUCGGGUCGUAAAACUCUGUUGUUAGGGAAGAACAAGUGCUAGUUGAAUAAGCUGGCACCUUGACGGUACCUAACCAGAAAGCCACGGCUAACUACGUGCCAGCCGCCGCGGUAA